UACGUAGGGUGCGAGCGUUGUCCGGAAUUAUUGGGCGUAAAGAGCUCGUAGGCGGCUUGUUGCGUCUGCCGUGAAAAUUCACAGCUUAACUGUGGACGUGCGGUGGAUACGGGCAGGCUUGAGUUCGGUAGGGGAGAGUGGAAUUCCUGGUGUAGCGGUGAAAUGCGCAGAUAUCAGGAAGAACACCAAUGGCGAAAGCAGCUCUCUGGGACGGUACUGACGCUGAGACGCGAAAGCGUGGGGAGCGAACAGG
rnacentral:rRNA from 1 species